UCCUCUGUAGUUCAAUUGGUAGAACGGCGGACUGUUAAUCCGUAUGUCACUGGUUCGAGUCCAGUCAGAGGAGCCA
rnacentral:tRNA from 1 species